rnacentral:rRNA from 1 species
UACGUAGGGGCCUAGCGUUGUCCGGAAUUAUUGGGCGUAAAGAGCUCGUAGGCGGUUCGGCAAGUCGGAUGUGAAAUCCCCGGGCUUAACCUGGGAAUGGCAUUUGGGACUGCAAGGCUUGAGUGCGGCAGAGGAGACUGGAAUUCCUGGUGUAGCAGUGAAAUGCGUAGAUAUCAGGAGGAACACCGAUGGCGAAGGCAGGUCUCUGGGCUGACACUGACGCUCAUGCACGAAAGCGUGGGGAGCAAACAGG